AGCAACGUUGUUUUCUCGACGUUGAAGAUUUGUUGAAAAAUGACAUUGAAACAACGUUGAUUUUUUUCAAUUUUAUCGACAUUGGUUAAAAGUCGACGUUGUGAAAAUGUUGACACAACGACCGCUUUUCAACAUAAAUAUCUUUUGGAUUAAAUAGUGUUAUUCCAUCAGUGAUUGAUAAUAAAAAGUGCACUACUUGCUACAACUUUCUAUAAAAUAUAAUACCGCGGUACAUAGUCCAUUAUUGCGAUUAUUAAAACGAAAUUAACAGUCCGGAUAAUACAUAGCGCCUAUCCCGCAGCGGGCAAGCGCAUGCGCAUUGUAAGUACAAUUUGAAAUCCAGUGUUUACAAUGCCACGGAAGACGGGAAGCCGAAAAGAAAGUUAACAGUUUCUGUCCUUUCUCUGAAGAAGGAUGCACUGAAAACCAUUCACAGACUACAUGUACAGAUGUCCUAAUAAUUCAAAGUAUGGCCCAGAACCAGUAGACGGAGAUGCCGACCGCUAACUUCACAAGUUUAAAAAAUAAAUAAAUAAAGUAUGCAUUGAAAAAUA